GGUGAUGAAUCUAACCAACCAACAUCUGAUAGGGAAUCUAACCAACCCACAACAAUAACAUCUGCUAGUGAAUCUGAGCAACAGACAACACCAACAUCUAAGAAUGAUAACUCGAUGUCUGCUAUAAUUGGUGGAGCUGUAGGAGGAUUAAUUGUGAUAAUCGUCAUCAUUAUUACCAUAGUAAUCUGUGUAAUACGUAGGAAGAACGGGGACAAUAUUUAUGACAGUCCAGAAGCUGUAGAGACUGAUCCUCAUCCCUACCAGAGCAUUCACAGAUAACAGAUCAGGGGAGAUAACUCUGACUAAUAAACAGAAUAAUCAAUUGGUUCAUCAGGAGAAUGAUCCAUAUACCAGUAUUAAUAAUGAUAUAAUUAAACCUAGCAACGGUAACCAAGGGAUGGACUAUCUGUAUAUUAGUUCUGAUGAUGUCACUGAUGACGUGGUGGUUGAUGAUAAACUAAAAGUAAAACUUCCGGUUGUGGCAGAAUACGCCCAGGUUAACCAAUCCAAUGCGAACAAAACCGCGAUUGAGAAAUUUAAGAUGGGACCAAAGGGUGAUAACUAUGCUGUUGCUAAUAUAGGGGGAAAAUGAUCAAUACUGAUAAACGUAAUAGGUAAUAGUGGAGAUCAAUACGCUGUUUUUAAUAAAGAGGUGAGGGGGUACAAAUAAUUAAUCAACCAUAAAGUUGAUUGUUUAAACGUUUGAAAAGGAAGUUUAACGUACACCAUCUUGUACAUAGUGAGACGAGUAGAUAUUUGUAUACCUUUGUUAAAAUAUAGUUUAUGGA